AACGAACGCUGGCGGCAUGCUUAACACAUGCAAGUCGCACGGUUCGGGUCCUGGCAGUGGCGGACGGGUGAGUAUCGCGUAGGGAUUUGUCGUUGGGUGGGGGAUAACCGCGGGAAACUGCGGCUAAUACCGCAUGACGCCUGUGGGCCAAAGGUGUGUAAGCACUGCCUGACGAGGAGCCUGCGUCCGAUUAGCUAGUUGGUUGGGUAAUGGCUGACCAAGGCUGNGAUCGGUAGCUGGUCUGAGAGGAUGAUCAGCCACACUGGGACUGAGACACGGCCAGACUCCUACGGGAGGCAGCAGUGGGGAAUAUUGGACAAUGGGCGCAAGCCUGAUCCAGCAAUGCCGCGUGGAUGAAG
rnacentral:rRNA from 1 species